CUGGCGGCGCGCCUAACACAUGCAAGUCGAACGAGCGAGAGAGAGCUUGCUUUCUCGAGCGAGUGGCGAACGGGUGAGUAACGCGUGAGGAACCUGCCUCAAAGAGGGGGACAACAGUUGGAAACGACUGCUAAUACCGCAUAAGCCCACGGCUCGGCAUCGAGCAGAGGGAAAAGGAGCAAUCCGCUUUGAGAUGGCCUCGCGUCCGAUUAGCUAGUUGGUGAGGUAAAGGCUCACCAAGGCGACGAUCGGUAGCUGGUCUGAGAGGACGACCAGCCACACUGGGACUGAGACACGGCCCAGACUCCUACGGGAGGCAGCAGUGGGGAAUUUUGGACAAUGGGGGCAACCCUGAUCCAGCCAUGCCGCGUGCAGGAUGAAGGCCUUCGGGUUGUAAACUGCUUUUGUCAGGGACGAAAAGGACCGUGUUAAUACCAUGGUCUGCUGACGGUACCUGAAGAAUAAGCACCGGCUAACUACGUG
rnacentral:rRNA from 1 species